rnacentral:lncRNA from 1 species
AAGAGCGUCAACGAGAGAGAGAAACCCAAAAAGGGUGGUAUGAGUCUUGGUUCACACAGUCCCCCUGGUUAACUACGCUUUUAUCAGCCCUGGCUGGUCCUUUAAUAAUCCUUAUAUUGUUGCUAACUCUAGGACCCUAUUUGCUCAACCGUGUAGUUUCCUUUCUCCAAGCUCAAAUUGGACAAAUGAAACUUAUGGUAAUCAGACAACAAUAUACCCCACUAGCAGACAUAGAAUGUGACACCCCCCAAUGAUCACUUUUAUGAUUAAAAGUAAC